UCGCCGAGAAGCAAAACGCAGUCGUAAAAAGAUACGAGAACUGGAGGCGACUGUUGAGCAGCUUCAAGGAGAGCUUUUGGAGGCUCGCAGUUCGUACGAUGCAGCACGCAUGGUGAGUCAACUUAAAAAACUGAUGUCACACAGUUCAUCACCGGCACGCCAAGACAAGGUUGACAUAGGUGGUG